rnacentral:rRNA from 1 species
AUGAACGCUGGCGGCGUGCCUAAUACAUGCCAGUCGAGCGAACGGACGAGAAGCUUGCUUCUCUGAUGUUAGCGGCGGACGGGUGAGUAACACGUGGAUAACCUACCUAUAAGACUGGGAUAACUUCGGGAAACCGGAGCUAAUACCGGAUGAUAUUUUGAACCGCAUGGUUCAAAAGUGAAAGACGGUCUUGCUGUCACUUAUAGAUGGAUCCGCGCUGCAUUAGCUAGUUGGUAAGGUAACGGCUUACCAAGGCAACGAUGCAUAGCCGACCUGAGAGGGUGAUCGGCCACACUGGAACUGAGACACGGUCCAGACUCCUACGGGAGGCAGCAGUAGGGAAUCUUCCGCAAAGGGCGAAAGCCUGACGGAGCAACGCCGCGUGAGUGAUGAAGGUCUUCGGAUCGUAAAACUCUGUUAUUAGGGAAGAACAUAUGUGUAAGUAACUGUGCACAUCUUGACGGUACCUAAUCAGAAAGCCACGGCUAACUACGUG